AUACUUCCCUGGCAGGGGAAAUACCAUGAUCACAAAGGUGGUUUUCCCAGGGUGAGGCUUAUCUAUUGCACUCUGGAUGUGCUGACUCCUGUGAUUUCCCCAAAUGGGGGAAACUCAACUGUGUAAUUGUUGAGUGGUAGUGGAGGACUGCGUUCAUGUUUUCCCCUU
ensembl:snRNA U1 U1 spliceosomal RNA